rnacentral:misc_RNA from 1 species
CAUUAAAAAAUAUGAAGGCUACAUGCAGCUCUGCCUCUCUGGGCUAGUUUGCUAGGGCUGAAUUAUUUUUCUCACCCAUGUCUUUUGUGCACUUGUUGUUUCCUUGGCGGGUUUUGCCUGCCACCAGGACCACACCAUAAACCCUUUAUGCAGUUGCAAUUGGCGUUAGUAUAACCACAAUUAUUUA